rnacentral:rRNA from 1 species
UACGUAGGGGGCCAGCGUUGUCCGGAUUUAUUGGGCGUAAAGCGCGCGUAGGCGGUCCCGUAGGUCGCCCGUGACAGCCCCCGGCUCAACCGGGGGGGGUCGGGCGAAACCACGCGACUCGAGGCCGGUAGGGGGGAGCGGAAUUCCCGGUGUAGUGGUGGAAUGCGUAGAGAUCGGGAGGAACACCCGUGGCGAAGGCGGCUCCCUGGCCCGGUUCUGACGCUGAGGCGCGAAAGCGUGGGGAGCGAUCCGG